rnacentral:rRNA from 1 species
GAUGAACGCUGGCGGCGUGCCUAACACAUGCAAGUCGAGCGAUUUACUUCGGUAAAGAGCGGCGGACGGGUAAGUAACGCGUGGGUAACCUGCCCUGUACACACGGAUAACAUACCGAAAGGUAUGCUAAUACGAGAUAAUAUGCUUUUAUCGCAUGGUAGAAGUAUCAAAGCUUUUGCGGUACAGGAUGGACCCGCGUCUGAUUAGCUAGUUGGUAAGGUAACGGCUUACCAAGGCGACGAUCAGUAGCCGACCUGAGAGGGUGAUCGGCCACAUUGGAACUGAGACACGGUCCAAACUCCUACGGGAGGCAGCAGUGGGGAAUAUUGCACAAUGGGCGAAAGCCUGAUGCAGCAACGCCGCGUGAGCGAUGAAGGCCUUCGGGUCGUAAAGCUCUGUCCCCAAGGAAGAUAAUGACGGUACUUGAGGAGGAAGCCCCGGCUAACUACGUGCCAGCAGCCGCCGCAG